CACUGAUAUGACGUGCUUGCACUGAAUUGACGUUGGAUUACCAGUGAGCGGCGGACGGGUGAGUAACACGUGGGCAACCUGCCCUGAAGCGGGGGAUAACAUCUGGAAACAGGUGCUAAUACCGCAUAACAACGAAAACCACAUGGUUUUCGUUUCAAAGAUGGUUUCGGCUAUCACUUCAGGAUGGGCCCGCGGUGCAUUAGCUAGUUGGUAAGGUAACGGCUUACCAAGGCAAUGAUGCAUAGCCGAGUUGAGAGACUGAUCGGCCACAAUGGAACUGAGACACGGUCCAUACUCCUACGGGAGGCAGCAGUAGGGAAUCUUCCACAAUGGGCGCAAGCCUGAUGGAGCAACACCGCGUGAGUGAAGAAGGGUUUCGGCUCGUAAAGCUCUGUUGUUGGAGAAGAACGUGCGUGAGAGUAACUGUUCACGCAGUGACGGUAUCCAACCAGAAAGUCACGGCUAACUACGUGCCAGCAGCCGCGGUAAUACGUAGGUGGCAAGCGUUAUCCGGAUUUAUUGGGCGUAAAGCGAGCGCAGGCGGUUGCUUAGGUCUGAUGUGAAAGCCUUCGGCUUAACCGAAGAAGGGCAUCGGAAACCGGGCGACUUGAGUGCAGAAGAGGACAGUGGAACUCCAUGUG
rnacentral:rRNA from 1 species